GAUGAACGCUGGCGGCGUGCCUAAUACAUGCCAGUCGAGCGAACGGACGAGAAGCUUGCUUCUCUGAUGUUAGCGGCGGACGGGUGAGUAACACGUGGAUAACCUACCUAUAAGACUGGGAUAACUUCGGGAAACCGGAGCUAAUACCGGAUAAUAUUUUGAACCGCAUGGUUCAAAAGUGAAAGACGGUCUUGCUGUCACUUAUAGAUGGAUCCGCGCUGCAUUAGCUAGUUGGUAAGGUAACGGCUUACCAAGGCAACGAUGCGUAGCCGACCUGAGAGGGUGAUCGGCCACACUGGAACUGAGACACGGUCCAGACUCCUACGGGAGGCAGCAGUGGGGAAUCUUCCGCAAUGGGCGAAAGCCUGACGGAGCAACGCCGCGUGAGUGAUGAAAGUCUUCGGAUCGUAAAACUCUGUUAUUAGGGAAGAACAUAUGUGUAAGUAACUGUGCACAUCUUGACGGUACCUAAUCAGAAAGCCACGGCUAACUACGUG
rnacentral:rRNA from 1 species